GAAACUACACAGAAGCCCCAUGCAAGUGGUGCCUAUUGUUUUCAUGAUCGGAGCCUUCUUUCUUACCAGAUUUGGACUUAUAUUUGAAAUGAGCAUAAAGGAAAAAGGAGGCAGACAGGACUUGAUGAAGUUGAUGCUGAAAGAACACAGAGGAUUUUUCCUCUUCUUCAUUUUCAUAGGCAUACGGAAAAAAAAAAUCUUGCAACAUAUACUUGGAGUUUAUUUUCAUAGAAGAGUUCAAGGAGAGCGCUGCUGCAUGUGCAACAGCUGCCCAAGACCAAGCAAACCUCUGGAAAAUGGGAAGAAAAAACCAGGAUAGGAAGCGGUUCUGAAGAUUUCUUAUGUUAUGAACUCAAUUUAGAGAGUAUUUUUCUAGCAUAGGAUGCUAACAAACUGUCAUUCGUUAAAUCGAAUGAUAGCAGAUGUACAACUGAGAAAAGAUGCACUUUGGGACAUAAUAUGAAAUUAUUGCAUAGCACUGAGCACAACAAGAGGUCACUGUGGGCAGCCAUGUGUAUGAGAUAAAAUGGGGUUGUUUUCCAACAUGCUUCAGCAGUAUAGGGAAAUAGAGUGAAAAGAAGACGUGUUAUAUGGGAGUUGUAGUGGGUGUGGGCUGCUGGGUGACCUCUUGAGUUGUUCUGUUUCUGACUGCUUGGGGCCUGCUCUGUAUUGCUGAGGUAUCUUGUACAUCUGUCUUGGUGAGUCUGAUGCAGACUGGGGCUUGGCGUAGCCUUUGUUUUAUGUCUGCCUCCAUAUCACGUUCCUCCUGUGUGCUGCCUUUGCUGUAAGACCAAGCUCAGUAUCCAGCAGGUCUGUGAGUGUCUUGCAGCAGCCCAUUACCUUACAGUUCCCUGCCUUGGCUGUGCCUACAGCUAGCCCUGGGUGUUAUAUUGUAAGAAUACCAUUGAAGUAUUUUGUAGUGCUCUAUAAAAAGCUAUUCCAUGUGUGUAUAAAAAUGUAGAUGUGUGUUUUAUAAGUCUUUAUGAAAGCUGAAAUAUGCUUAAUGAAAAAGGAAUGUCCUGGUUCUGACAGUACGUCAGCUGACAGGCAGCUGGAAGAAAUGUCGCUACAGGGAAUUUAGCUAUUCUUCAGGUUUUCUGUAGGCUAACAGCUGCUGAUGUACAAGAAUGACUGUUAUAUCGUGAGUACUAUCAAUGUUUCAGAUGUCUUGUACAAUGCUAUUUCCAUUUAAAACUGCUGGGAACAGGCUGGUGAGCAUCUCUACGAUGGAAGGAGGACUUGAAGUUUGUGGUGCAAAUGGAGUGGCUGCAUGGUACUGCAGAAUGAGUCAACAAAUGAAAGCACGUUUUCUUGUGUGCUGUUCCUUGCGUUUCUGACUGACCUGUAAAUAUUCUGAGAAAUGUUUCUUGAAAUAAUUUAGGGAUUACCUAAAUACAGUUAU
rnacentral:lncRNA from 7 species